AAGUGCUUUACACGAAACAUUAAAGGGCAAUCAAAAACAGAAAAUACAACAGGCUAAAAUAUAAUAAUAUACAAAUAUAAGAAUAUAAGUUACAGUGAGUAAGAAAUGAAUAAUUAUUCAAUUUAAUAUAUUGUAUGGACGGGUUUGGGAGGAGAGAGGGAGGGGGUUUAUUUUGGAUUAUUUUCAUUAGUGUGUAAAAUAUUGUAAUAAAAUAACAUAAUGUUCUAAGUAAAUAUGAUAAAUAGGUUUGGAAUGAUUUUUACAACUAAAAUAAUUGUUUUGUAACUGAAGAGGGAAAGUAC